rnacentral:rRNA from 1 species
ACUGAGGGGUGCUGGCGCAGCUUAACACAUGCUAGUCGAACAAUGGAAAGCCGGAGCUAGUUCUAGCUGGAUUGUUGGCGAACGGGCGAGUAACACGUGAGCAAUCGGCCGGUGACUCUGAGGAAACUUCGAGAAAUCGAUGCUAAUACCGGAUACGACCCUUCCAGGCAUCUGGUGAGGGUGGAAAGAACUUUGGUCAGGGAUGAGCUCGCGGCCUAUCAGCUAGUUGGUGAGGUAAUGGCUCACCAAGGCGACGACGGGUAGCCGGCCUGAGAGGGUGACCGGCCACACUGGGACUGAGACACGGCCCAGACUCCUACGGGAGGCAGCAGUGGGGAAUAUUGCACAAUGGGCGCAAGCCUGAUGCAGCGACGCCGCGUGAGGGACGAAGGCCUUCGGGUUGUAAACCUCUU